rnacentral:rRNA from 1 species
ACGGCACAUGACCUGGAGCAGAUGCUACUUGAUGAAGAUGCAGAGCCAAAGAACCUGCCAUUAUCUCUCUUGGAAGGAAUCACAAAUUAUUUCUCCAACGAUAAGGAAAUAGGAAAGGGUGGCUUUGCAGUUGUUUAUAAGGGAUUGCUAGGGAAUGGGAUGGUGGCUGUGAAGCAGCUCUUCACAACCAUUGAAAUCGAUGAGAAUAAAUUCUACAAGCAAGUGGGCUGUCUUAUGAAUGCGAAGCACAAAAAUAUAGUCCGAUUCUUGGGAUGUUGUUCUGACACGCAACGAAAAAGGAUAAGCUACAAUGGAAAAUUUGUCACCACAAAUGUACAACAAAGAUUGCUGUGCUUUCAGUAUCUACCUAAAGGGAGUCUUCAUGAUUACAUCACCGAUGCAUCUCGUGGACUUGAAUGGGGAAAGCGGUAUCAGAUUAUUAAAGGGAUUUGUGAGGGCUUAUAUUACCUUCACUAGAAUAGCAUUAUUCACUUAGAUCUGAAACCGACUAAUAUAUUGAUGGAUGAAAAUAUGCUGCCCAAAAUUGCCGACUUUGGUCUCUCGAGGUGCUUUGAUGAAAAUCAAAGCUGGACAAUUACUACCAAAUUGAUUGAACCAAUGUAA